UUUUUUUUUUUUUUUUUUAGGAAAGGUUGAGUGCAGAAAGGGUUUUGUAGAACCUAACGAACUAAAAUAAUCCAACUAUUUGGGGGCUAGAAGAACCAGAGUUUACCUAUUCACUUCUAACCUAUUCUUCCCAUAAAUGUGUAGGAUUACAGGCAAACUGGAACUUUUCUGAUAGACUGUUUAUUAGCUUUUAUCCUACUUGAGUCCCAUUUUUCUGAUAAGCUGAACAAGUCUCCCUGUGAUAAGCUUUGCCCUUUGCCCCUAUUUAACUGUGCACACCCCAAUUUGCUCAGCGGUAAAUUUUACAAGGGUUCUCUACCAGAAUUAAUAAUCCUAAACCAGCUUUAAUUUGAAAUCGCCAAGUCCUGUGCUGCCAUAAACACCCCCAAGACUUCUUCCAGAAGCAUUUAAUAAUCUGUUUCAUCAUGCUGGCAGACACAGGUAUGGUUAAUUUGGAGUCUGGCUAUUCCCUCCUGUGGCCAACCCUUUCCUCCUCAAUAACUGGUAAACAAGCCAACAAAUAAAGGUCUGGACGUAAAUACAUUCUUCUGUUGCACAUGCAAAUGUUAUUUUUGUUUUUUUAAUUCUCUGUUGGUUACCUUGAUGUUUUCCUGCCCUUCUCCUUUUUUAUCUUUCCCCCAAAGAAACUUAGAAACCUUCCAGAGCUGCACAUACUUAACUGAAGCAUGUGCUGGAGAGAGGGGUCGAUUCCUGCUCUCACCAGCAAUUUCAGCUUCCCACCUGCAGUGCGUAGCUCCAUUUUAUAUCAAGGGUGGUUCCAUGCAGAAAACGAGAUCUGAGUGAAGAGAAGCAUUAAAACACCAUCCCCCCACACCGCUGCUGUAUCAGAUUGAAGUGGAAGAGAGCUUCAAGAGCAGGAAAAGAGGGCCCAGGACCUGAAAGCUGAGUGGGAUCAUAUCUACUGGAGAAAGUUUUCCAAGAUCAAGUUUCCGAAAUGGCAAUCGCUCAUCCUUCCGUGAGAAAGAGAAAGCACACGUGCGCUCACGGGGGCCUGCCAAAGAGUCCAAGUUACACAGAAACAUCUCCUUGUACUUUUUUUUUUUUUCGUGCUUCUCCAGGGAAUGUAUUUCUCUUCAGCCCUCUGUUCUUAUUACAUAAAAAUCCAGUACCUUAUCAAUAUAUUAAUUGCUAUCUAUGUCUUGCCUAGAAGGAGUAAGAAUAAACGAAGGAUUUUUUUUUUCUUGUUCAUCUCAAAGUUAUAUGCCGAAUACCUUCUCUUGUUUUUAUUACCUUUAAUUAGCUUAAUAAUCUUCACAUUUCCUUGUUGAAUAACUGCUAACUUAAUGUGUUGCCAUAAUGCACUUUUAAAUUACUGCUUUAAAAAACUCAGUGCUGAUUUUCAGUUUCCGCUCACUGUAUUAAUUAUCUAUAAAUAUGUGUGAGACUUCCUUCAGCAGAUUUUCACAAUCUCCUUGUUAUCCCUGUAUAGACACUUUAAAGUGCUACAACAAUUCAAAGUUCAACAUCCCUGUAAUUUACUCAGCCUUAUAAUUGAUAUUUAUAAGCUCAGCAAACCUGGAAGGGAAGAGAAAUAUUAGCCAGCCCAACUCAAGUUCGGAGACCUCUAAUUUGGUUGUAAGUGUCGCGGUCUUAUUUGCAGAGACAAACUAGCCCGCCCUCCUUUGUGCUCAGAUAUUCUCUAGGGCCACUUUUCUGCUUUUGAGCAAGAUAUGAUUUCUGCCUCCCUCCCCCCGCACCCCCCUCUCCCUCAGACUUCUUCAUUUCCAUAACAAGCUUGAGUUGAAAAGAAAAGUGAACCAACCAGUUUGUGAGCUGUGUGCUGGGGUGGGGGGGCAACAGUUGUCUGUCUCUCCUUAGAGCAUGAACGAGAGUGAAAAAUGAAAUGCCUCAGUCCUAGCUCUGCAGCUCACUUGCUUUACAACCAGGAACAUGUCCCUUGCUGUCACAAAGCCUUCAUUUUCACAUCCACAGAAUGGAGCUAACACUUGCCCAAGGUACAUCCCAGGGCUGUCCUGAGUAACUGUGAGGACAGAGACUCCGUGCUCUGAAAGCAGGAAAAUGCUAUAAAAUGCAAUUAUAAUUGUUAAUGCUAGUAAUCUGCCAUGGUCUGGGGACAGGGCAUCACCAGUGGGGCUUCUCAAAGUGGGUGUCCCAUUUGAGCCCCAGCCUCGGUUGGGAAACCUGUCCAUGCCCCCUGGAAAUUUCUCUGGGGGGUGGGCCCACUGUUCUGUGUUUUCACAAGUCCUCCAGGUAAUUUGGAAGUUCACUGGUUGGAGAACCUGCAACCAGCUUGUACCUGUGAUCUAAUAAAGUGGUUUGGGGUUUGAUUUUUCCAUUAAGGGUCAUAAAAGAGUCAUAAGAGCCAAAUUAAAGAAAGAAAGAGAGAGAGAAAAUGGCAACUCUAUUUCCCUACCUCUUCCAUGGGCAAUAGUUGUGGGCAGUAGUUAAAAAUUUGUCCUAACAUCAGAUGCCUUGGGUCAAAUCUUGACAGUACAAGUUGGGUGGCUUGGGGCAAGUUACGAAAAUCUGUGUCUCAUGGGCUCACCUGGAAUAUUGUGAAAUAAAAGAGCUUAACCAUAUUAAACACAGUGCUUGGAACAUACCAAGUGCUCACAACCUGUUAGCAAACAUUAUUUUCUAGUUUUUGCUUUCUAGCCAGCCCCCAGUUGUAUAUUUGACCCAACUGGCUCCCUAACUUUGUAAAUAAAAUUAGAAUAAAGAAAAAUUUGUCCCCGGAGUUCCCACUGUGACUCAGUGGGUUAAGAACCCAACUCGUGUCCAUGAGGUUGUGGGUUUGAUCCCUGGCCCCGCUCAGUGGGUUAAGCAUCCAGUGUUGCCACAAGCUGUGGAGUAGGUGGCAGAUGUAGCUCGGAUCCAGCAUUGCCAUGGCUGUGGCAUAGGGCUCAGCUGCAGUUCCAUUUUUACCCCUGGCUUGGGAACUUCCAUAUGCCAGAGGUGCAUCCAUAAAAACAAAAUAAAAUAAAAAAAAAGAAAGAAAGAAAAAGGAAAAGAAAAAAGAUUGUCCACAGGUGUUGGUAUAUACAUAGUUCUUCUGUGCAGAGGCAAAUCCCAAAUGCAAAUUCACAAAAUAAUCCCAAAUAGUCUUUCCAGUACACAGGCACCCCAAACACCACCUUCUUUUCAGUUGUUAUUCUGAUGUUACAGAUUUAUGCAUUCCCAUGGUGUCUCUCUGUAGAUGGGAAACUGUUACCCAUCCCCUCUUCAAGGAACGGAAGGCAGAGAUAAAGGGGAAAAAGAAAAUCAGCCUAAUCCAUUAUUUUUAUGAGCAUGCACAAUUUCCAACAGACAGCGUUGAGUUCCUACAGAGAAAAGAAUCUUUAAGAAUUCACCAUUUAAUGGAGAAACAGGUAGUCAUUAAUUUCAUAAAAACAUACAAUGUAUAUUCAUUAAUCUAUUUGUGAGAUGCUCAGAAUUUUCCAGGUGCAAUGCUCAUUACCGGCAUUAAAUGCACAGCAAUUGCCAGAAGCAGACAGUAAAUAAUACAAAUAAAUCCAAGUGCAUGCAAAAAAGCCUUGGGAAAUCUCUGAGACACUACAAUUAUGGUGAGAUAGACAGCAGCUCUUCUGAAGGAAAAGAAUAAGGGGAAUCAAGGGCUUUCAAUAUGGCUUCGUGAAGGAUUAUUCAAAGAUCUAAGGGCAAAAAAAGAAGCCCUGAGGGGAAAAUGGAAAAUAUAGGUUGGAACCAAAGAGACUAGGGAGAGGAUAAGGACAGAUAAUGUCAGAGCGGCAGAAGCUUGGUCAAUAGCAUUCUAUUCCAGCCAAAAGAGGGAGCCGUGCUUGGAGUAUUGCCCCUUAAUUAACAGAGCAAGCUCUCAACUUCCUCACCAGCUCUGUUCCUAAGUUCAUGUGUAAGUCAGCGGGUUGAAACCCAGGGAACAUUUUCCCAUGGAAACAACAUUCGUGGUGGUUUGGCUUUCUGGACAGCCCACAAUAAGGUAUUGAACCCAAAAUGAAAUUGAAUAUAGAACCUAAUCCUUAAAAAUAUGAUUUUAACUGUAUCUAACGAGCAUUUUUAAUAUUGUGCCUUUGGAAAAACAGAGUUCGAGUUCAAGGGUGGGGUGCAUCAAAUGAGUCCUGAGUUUCAGCCAACAGCUUAGCCUGUGUGCCCUCUGCCUAGAACGUUCCUCCCCAGAGGCCUUUGUGGUUACACAAAUAGAGCGUUCUCAGGGAGGCCAUUUCUGACUAUUUUAUUUCAAAUUUCAAAACCCUCCCCCCAGUGCUCCCUAAUUCUCUUUCCAGUUUUACUGUUUUCAACAGCACAACCAUCCAUCAGUAUCUACAGAGACAAAUUGAUGCACUUACUGAUUGCCUCCCUUGGGAGAAGGUAAACUCAAUGAGGGUAGGUAGCAAUUCUUGCUUGUAAGGUAUCUGGAGAGCCUAGAGCAACACCUAAUACACAGUAGGCAGCCAAAACAUAUAUGUUGAGCUUAAUUAUUUACUAGCUCAUCUACUUAUUAACUGUAGGUUGGAGAGCUGAAGCUGCAACGGGGGCCAGGUAGAUUCUUCUGGAUCCAUGAUAAUGCACAGGAGACAUGAUGCUUCUAAAUCAAUCUCUCCCUCAAAUACUUUGAAUCAGAGAGAGAAAUGUAUGUGCUUUGGGGAAGCAGGACUGGGAGAAGAGCAGAGGUCGAGAAAGAAUUUUGGAAUUUCCCACUAUGUGUGAAAAAUCCUGGCCUAGGAGAAACCCCCCACCCCAGGUUCUUCCCUUCUCCCUGGUACUUAGUAGCAUGUGACCUUGGACAUGACACUAACUCUCCAGCGUCAUUGUUUCUCACUGUUUAAUAGAGAGAUAAUGCUCUUUGUACCCUGCAGGUUGGUUGGUGAAGAUCAUCUGGGUAAUAAAUGGGAAUGAGCUCUGAAACAAUAAAGUGCAUCCCAAAAUAAAACAAUCAUAGUAAUGAAAGUGUGCUUUAUACAAAUAAAUAGUGAGAUCAAAUCUUCAUCGAUUCUCUGUGGGAUGCUGGGGCUGUAUAUUUUGAAUAUAGUAAUCUAUAACUUUUUUCUACAUGUGAAAAAUAAGUACGGAAGCUGAGAAUAAUGUGUAUGCAAUUGGUGUUGCUGAUAAAAGGAAGAAAAAUUUAGGUAAAUAUUCAAUGGCAA
rnacentral:lncRNA from 1 species